rnacentral:rRNA from 1 species
GGUCUCACUGAUUCCUCCUUCCUUAUGAACCGUAAUGCCAUUAAUUUGGUGUUGCGGGAAAUUUGGACUGUUACUUUGAAAAAAUUAGAGUGUUUAAAGCAAGCUAACGCUUGAAUACAUUAGCAUGGAAUAAUGAAAUAGGACGUUCGAUCUUAUUUUGUUGGUUUCUAGGAUUGACGUAAUGAUAAUA